rnacentral:tRNA from 1 species
UGGGUUGUGGCUCAGUGGUAGAGCACUUGCCUAGCAUGUGUGAGGCACUGGGUUCAAUUCUCAGCACCACAU